CAGAAAUAACGUCUCAGUUCGGAUUGUAGUCUGCAACUCGACUACAUGAAGCUGGAAUCGCUAGUAAUCGCGAAUCAGAAUGUCGCGGUGAAUACGUUCCCGGGUCUUGUACACACCGCCCGUCACACCAUGGGAGUCAGUAACGCCCGAAGUCAGUGACCCAACCUACUAGGAGGGAGCUGCCGAAGGCGGGACCGAUGACUGGGGUGAAGUCGUAACAAGGUAAC
rnacentral:rRNA from 1 species